UACGUAGGGUGCAAGCGUUGUCCGGAAUUAUUGGGCGUAAAGAGCUCGUAGGCGGUCUGUCGCGUCGGAUGUGAAAAUCCAGGGCUCAACCCUGGACCUGCAUUCGAUACGGGCAGACUAGAGUUCGGUAGGGGAGACUGGAAUUCCUGGUGUAGCGGUGAAAUGCGCAGAUAUCAGGAGGAACACCGAUGGCGAAGGCAGGUCUCUGGGCUGACACUGACGCUCAUGCACGAAAGCGUGGGGAGCAAACAGG
rnacentral:rRNA from 1 species